rnacentral:lncRNA from 1 species
GCAGCCUCGGCUGUCGGUGAUGGCCGUGCCGGCGAAGGUCUGGGACUGGAUUUGCGAGAUGGGAGGGGGCUUUGUGCAAGAUGGGGAGGAUGGAGAUGAAAAAUGAUGCUUUCAAGGUAAGAGAAGCGUUUUUCUUUCUGCUUUUCCAUUUCGUGAUUCAACUAAGCUCUUCUGUGUGUAUUUGCAUUUACUCUAUCUAGUCAAAAGUAUUUAUCGUUUAGGACAAAAUUUAGUCAAAAUUUUAAAUUCCAACAACUAUUUUUUUGUUAGGAUUAAUUUAUGAAAUCAAAUAUGUUUAUGCUAUUAUGAUGGAACCUUUUGAGAAAAAUCUGUGUGUGUGCGUGUAUAUAUAUAUAAAUAUAUAUAUAUAUAUAUAUUGUAUUUAAACAAAGCAUUUAAGAAAUAAUUGAUGGCCUAUUUUAAAAAAUGAACUAAAUCUUAUCCUAAAAGAUAAAUAUUUUUGACGGGGGAGUAUCUCAGUAAAUUUUGUGCUAAUUUUGUAGUUUAUGUAGAUGCCGCGAUGUCCAUGUGGGGAAUUUAGCCAGAAGGAAGGUGGAAACAUUUUUGUGGUGUAAUUUGUCCUGCAGGAGAUGGGAAUUGAGAAGAACGCAACAUAGGUUCUUUGAUCCUGUUUCCAUCUAUCCACCAUAAAUAUUGUUAUUUAGUGUACUGAAUACUCUUCUAUCUAAGUUCAAAGUUAGGCCUCCAUUGUGGUUGCUGUUGCUUAGCUUGUGGCUUGCAAGUUCCAACUAGUUCAUCUACUUGCCCUCUGCUUUCGACCCAAUGACAUCGAUACAUGAUGUUAGCGAUUCCUGAAUCCUGACGUGUUCGUGAUGUAUAGAUUACCCACUAUAUUAGUAGUAAACAGCUUAUAUUGGAUACUGUGAACAGAGUGGCUUAACUUAGUUCACAGAUAUAUGAACAGAGAAGGGACAUUGUCAUCCAUAAUGCAAACUGAAUUAGAUAUAAUAGAUACUACGUAGAUAAAUUUGCAGAAAGCAUUGCCGAGUUGGG